rnacentral:lncRNA from 1 species
CUUUCCCAGAUUUUGAUAAUGAGAAGACAAGCUUAGAGAGGUUGGGGUAAUUUGCCUGAUGAAAAAUCUAAAACAGGGGCAGUCACUUGUUUUAACUUGAGUCUACAAUGUUUGCUGAGUAAAUGACAAUGGCUAAACCUUAGUGAGCUCUUAAGAGUAACUCAGAGUUAACUCUUGAGCUUUAAAUCACAUUAUCUGGCCCUAAAGGUGAAAACUUUCAGGAAGGGCUCUAUCCACUAAACCAGUUUCCUACAUUGGAGAUCUCAAACUGGUGAAAUAUCAGAAAAAUUCCGGGAACUUUUUAUUUUGUCAAGAGCAUAUUAACAGGUUUAUCAUUUAUCAUCUGUUUAUUAUCACUAUAAAGCCAUAAGACAACAUUUUGCAAGGAAAUGGAAAAUUUCAUCCUAAUGAGAAAAUUCGUACUAAUGCAUAAUCCCUUCUCCAGAAAGGCAGGCACACAUUGAAAAAUAUUUGUGAGUUUCGGCAAUGUACUAAAAUGACAGAGUAACAUUUUACUUUACGACACUCCAUUGUCUUUAGCUUUUUCUAAAUCGUUUAACAGUUGGGGUAAAUCUGUAUUCGGCGUGACACACGGAGUGGUGCUCAAAACACCGGACCGGCACCUUGUGUUUUCCUGAAUAAGUCUUUGUAGAAAAUCCUUUCCCAUGGGAUAAGGGAUACAACUCUUAACGCAACUGCACGGGAUCAGAAAGAGUCUGGGUGAACCAAGAGAAGCUGAGGACAAGCCUCCGUCCUUCAAGUCACUCCUUUAACACGCAGCGGACAGGUGAGACGGGGGUCAAGGCCAGGGACGACAGCGCUGGGCCUGACCACCCAGAGCGAGUGGGAGCUGAGAGGAGAGGCGUCACUAACGGAGGGAAACAGCCCCAAUUCGAGCGGCCUCGCGACCCCCCGAGCUGGUGACGGCCUCCGAAGACGUGUGGGAGGCGCCGGGGCAGAGCUCCCGAAAAGAAAAGGAACCGCAGGCCACUUUCACCUCCAACUCUCGCCACAGCAACACCUUCAGCAGACAGCCCUCAGUUCCGCAGAAGCCGGCGCAAGAUGGCGGCGCGUCACGUGCGCAACGCGGUGACGUCGGAC